GAUGAACGCUGGCGGCGUGCCUAAUACAUGCAAGUCGAGCGAACGGACGAGAAGCUUGCUUCUCUGAUGUUAGCGGCGGACGGGUGAGUAACACGUGGAUAACCUACCUAUAAGACUGGGAUAACUUCGGGAAACCGGAGCUAAUACCGGAUAAUAUUUUGAACCGCAUGGUUCAAAAGUGAAAGACGGUCUUGCUGUCACUUAUAGAUGGAUCCGCGCUGCAUUAGCUAGUUGGUAAGGUAACGGCUUACCAAGGCAACGAUGCAUAGCCGACCUGAGAGGGGGAUCGGCCACACGGGAACUGAGACACGGUCCAGACUCCUACGGGAGGCAGCAGUAGGGAAUCGUCCGCAAUGGGCGAAAGCCUGACGGAGCAACGCCGCGUGAGUGAUGAAGGUCUUCGGAUCGUAAAACUCUGUUAUUAGGGAAGAACAGAUGUGUAAGUAACUGUGCACAUCUUGACGGUACCUAAUCAGAAAGCCACGGCUAACUACGUG
rnacentral:rRNA from 1 species